rnacentral:rRNA from 1 species
GAUGAACGCUCGCGGCAGGCCUAAUACAUGCAAGUCGAACGGGAUCCAGAUCAAAGCUUGCUUUGGUUUGGUGAGAGUGGCGCACGGGUGCGUAACGCGUGAGCAACCUACCCUUGUCAGGGGGAUAGCCCGGCGAAAGUCGGAUUAAUACCGCAUGACAUCAUUGAGAGGCAUCUUUCGAUGAUCAAAGAUUUAUCGGACAAGGAUGGGCUCGCGUGACAUUAGCUAGUUGGUAAGGUAACGGCUUACCAAGGCUACGAUGUCUAGGGGCUCUGAGAGGAGAAUCCCCCAAAAUGGUACUGAGACACGGACCAGACUACUACGGGAGGCAGCAGUAAGGAAUAUUGGUCAAUGGACGGAAGUCUGAACCAGCCAUGCCGCGUGCAGGAAGACGGCCCUAUGGGUGGUAAACUGCUUUUAUACGGGAACAACCGUCGGUACGUGUACCGGUCUGAGUGUACCGUAAGAAUAAGGAUCGGCUAACUCCGUG